AUUGAACGCUGGCGGCAUGCCUUACACAUGCAAGUCGAGCGGCAGCGCGGGGCGAACCCUGGCGGCGAGCGGCGAACGGGUGAGUAAUACAUCGGAACGUGCCCAGUAGUGGGGAUAACCUCUCGAAAGAGAGGCUAAUACCGCAUACGACCUACGGGUGAAAGCGGGGACCGCAAGGCCUCGCGCUAUUGGAGCGGCCGAUGUCGGAUUAGCUAGUUGGCGGGGUAAAGGCCCACCAAGGCGACGAUCCGUAGCUGGUCUGAGAGGACGACCAGCCACACUGGAACUGAGACACGGUCCAGACUCCUACGGGAGGCAGCAGUGGGGAAUUUUGGACAAUGGGCGCAAGCCUGAUCCAGCCAUGCCGCGUGAGUGAAGAAGGCCUCGGGUUGUAAAGCUCAUUCGGCGGGACGAAACGGUCCGUGCCAACACCACGGACUAAUGACGGUACCCGCAGAAGAAGCACCGGCUAACUACGUGCCAGCAGCCGCGGUAAUACGUAGGGUGCAGGCGUUAAUCGGAAUUACUGGGCGUAAAGCGUGCGUAGGCGGUUUGUUAAGACAGGUGUGAAAUCCCCGGGCUUAACCUGGGAACUGCGCUUGUUACUGGCAGACUUGAGUGUGGCAGAGGGGGUGGAAUUCCACGUGUAGCAGUGAAAUGCGUAGAGAUGUGGAGGAACACCGAUGGCGAAGGCAG
rnacentral:rRNA from 1 species